CCAGCGGCAACUCCACACUG
rnacentral:misc_RNA from 1 species